CUCCAAAAACAGGCUGAAAAAAGCCCCCAAAAUGGGCGGAAAAAAACUUUGAAAAUUGGCCAAAAAGCCCCUAAAACAGGCUGAAAAAAGCCCCCCCAAAAAAGUCUCAAAAAUGGGCUGAAAAAAGCCGAAAAUAUGGGCCAAAAAAAGCCUCCAAAAUGGGCCAAAAAAGCCCCCAAAACAGGCUGGAAAAAGCCCCAAAAUGGGCCAAAAAAAGCCUUGAAAACGGGCCAAAAAAAGGCUGGAAAAGACCCAAACAAAGGCCCAAAAAUGAGGCAAGUGGAAGCCAAAAACUUCUUUUGUUGUGUUCCUCUUUUUUAUUUAGGUGAGUUUUAUAGUCUGAAAAAUACGGUAUUCAUCUCUGAAUCUUGGUGUGUUAAGAUUGCUGAUAGAAUUAGAGAAAAAAUGAGGGUCUAAAAGGACAAAUUGUGUCCUUUUUCACAUGGUGUUUAAUUUUUAUUAUUAUCGUUAUUAUUGUUAUAGUUCACCAUAGUAACAAGAUUGCCAGAGUGUGGGAACAAGCUAACAACCCACUCAUAACAAAUUGACUUCUGAAAUUAUAGCUGUAAUGUGGACUCAGAUGUAAAGGCCUACAAUAAUGAGACAUUUUGGAGUAGACAGAUUUGGAAGGAUUUUUUUUAAGAGCUUUCUGGAAAGACCAACACAUUGUGUAUUCUUCCCAGCCCUCAAAACAAGUAUAAUCUUAUUUUGGUUAUGUCUCGACUCACUGCCUGCUUUGUGGCAUUUAUUUUCCUCUGAAUUCCGUUCUUUUGGUGGUCCAACUGAAAUAACACUCUGGCUAGUAUCACAGUAGCAUAUUAAAUUUGUCUAAAAAUGUUUUACAUUGUAUGGCCUUUAUAACAUCCAUUCUAUACGGGGAGCUAAAAUUCAGUUGUCCUUGAUAUACACUACAGUGGUACCUCGGUAUUUGACUGCUUCAAAAUUUGUCAAAUUUGGUACUCGAUGCAUUUUGAUGCCAAAAAAAAUGUUGCCCCAGUAACUUGUAGUUUCUUUGGUAUUUGGCGUGCUGCAAAAGAAAGAGGGGGACAGCCACAGAGAGCAAACAGAAAGUUGGCCAUCUUAGGAAGGUAGCUGAUUUAGGAAAAAGGACAGACAGAAAAUUCUUCCCAGGGUCACAUGAUGAGUCACCUGGUUUGUUUGGCACUCAUAGUUCUUAGUGCUUCCCGGAACCAAUUAAUGUCGAAUACCGAGGUACGACUAAACAGGUACAGCCUACAAAUAUGGUUCUCUCAGCUGUGUUCUAAAGCUCUUUUUAACGAGCCAUGUGUAAAGAGAAUGAUAGAAACCUUAAAUGUGAACGUAUUUUUGCAGCCUUAUGUCUGAAUGAUUUGGGGGAUAAGUUGAACUAUUUAAAGAGGCCUGUGCUAACACAUUCCAUCAUAGCCCAAUGUCUGUAUGAGAAUACGCUCCCAUAGAAUAACAGAGUUGGAAGGGACUGGAGAUCUUCUGGUCCAACUCCUGCUCAAGCAGGAGACCCUAUACCAGGGGUCUGCAACCUUAAACACUCAAAGAGCUAUUUGGACCCGUUUCCCACAGAAAAGAAAACACCGGGAGUCACAAAACCCUUCCCGUGCCUGACUAUUUCUUGAAUGGCCACAAAACUACCAUAUAUAGUUGAACUGAAUGUUCUGUUUUCUUCUGAAACUUUUCUUUUGUUGGAUUUAUCCAUGGUUGGCCUACCAGGGGUUGAACAGCUCAAUAAAUCGUGUGCCGGCAGGCGUCGCACAUUGGCGGUUGUGACGCAUAUUUUGAGUGACAAGGAGCCUGAGCAGAGGGGUGAAAGAGCCACAUGCGGCUCCAGAGCCGCAGGUUGCUGACCCCUGCCCUAUACCAUUUCAGACAAGUGGUUGUCUAAUCGCUUUCCAGUUUCUCCAAUCUCCAGGAAGUUGACCAAACUGUAAUGCGCACGUACAAACCAGCUUAUUUGGAUAGAACAUGUGCAAAAAAGGGCAAACAGUAAAGCUAUCCAUUUAAAUGAAAGCUCUUUGGAAUGUAUUCUGAACAUUGAGAGAAGUGGUAGCACUGAGUGAAUUUGAACUUUUAGGCAGAAUCCGAUCAUUAUCACAAACAUAUCUUUCCUCUUCUGUUGUUACAGUGUUUGCUGACUGAAGGGUUUGCAAAUACUCCAGAUAACGUCCUUUUUAUCGUGUGAAGUUGAUGCUUUUAGGGUUUGGUGUUUUUUUUUACAUGGCUUGUAUUGAGAUCUGUUGAGGGAUGAAGGUUGCUGCGGGGAAUGUCAAUUCGGUAUCAAAUGUAUGUGGAAUUUAUUCCCAGUAGCUAAAGCUAAUCAUGAUUAACCACCUUUAGAAGGGGGUUAGGUUGUAGCUGCUGAAGUAAAUGAUGGGAGCCCUGAAGAAUCAGUGCAAAAAUGUUCUAGUUUUUUAUAAGGUGCUUCUGAAAAGUAGGAUGCAAGUUAAACGGCCCCUUCAUUUGCUUUUAUACCCUUUUAUUCAUUGUUACUGAGAGGUAAUGCUUUGACUCAAAACACAACUCAGGUAGCCCUCGAUUUACAACCACAAUUGGGAUUAGAACUUCCACAACGGCUAAGCAAGGCAGUUGUUAAGUGAGCUACACCCUUUGUUAUGACCUUUUUUGGCCACGGAUAUUAAAUGAAUUAUGCAGUUGUUCAGCGAAUCUGGCUUUCCCCACCACCAUUGAUUUUCCUUGUCAGAAGCCAGUUGGGUAAGUGGCAAAUACAUGCCCAUCACUAAGCACCCAAAUUUUGAUCACAAAUCUGUGGAUAGGCAGCAUAUAAGUGUGAGGACAUAAGUCACUUUUUUCGGUGCCGUUGUGACUUCGAAUGGUCUCUAAAAUGAAUGGUUGUAAGUCAAGGACUACCUGUAUAUGGGAAAACGUGACUGCUUCUCCCUGGCGUGCUCUGAAUCUGGCCAUUUUUCCACUAGUGAUUUAAAUCAGGGGUCUCCAACCUUGGCAACUUUAAGACUUGCGGACUAUAUUAGGAAUAAUAUUAGAAUUAUAUUAGACACCAUAGAAUAUUAUGAGACACAAUGAAAAACAGAUGGUACUAAUAUUUACAGACGCGCAAAAGGCUUUCGAUAACGUUAAAUGGGAAUUCAAUGUGAUCAUAAUUCAAGGACUACAUGUACUUUGUUUCUUUAAAGCAAGGGUCUCCAACUUUGGCAACUUUAAGACUUGUGGACUUCAACUCCCAGAAUUCCUCAGCCAGCAAAGCAACUUUAAGACUUGUGGACUUCAACUCCCAGCUUUGCUGGCUGAGGAAUUCUGGGAGUUGAAGUCCACAAGUCUUAAAGUUGCCAAGGUUGGAGACCCCCGAUUUAAAGUGUUUUUAUAGCAUCACUCAGCCAAAUGAUAUCAAGCCUGUCUUCAUGACUGUUAUUUUGGCACAACAACAAAGGUUGGAUGAUGCUAGAAAAGGCUACAAAAUGGUCAUGAGGAAGGACUUAUAUCUAUGUGCAACCAUGUGACCACAAUGAUGCCAGGCCAUAGAUGUUUCGUUCCUCAACCUCUCCUUUUUAAAAGCAUUGAUUAUUUAACACAGGGGUGUCCAAACUUGGUCCCUUUAAGACUUGUGGACUUCAACUCCCAGAGUCUGGGAACUCUGGGAAUUGAAGUCCACAAGUCUUAAAGGGACCAAGUUUGGACACCCCUGAUUUAACAUAUGUGUGGCAUUGAAUAAAUUAGGGAGUAAGGCACAUCAGUCCCUUUAACAGAAGAGCGUGAUCAAGGAAACAAGAAUCACACGCCUCCUUUAAUUGAAUUUUCAUACCAAGAGGCUACAGUACAGAAUCUUGAGAACUGAGGUACAAGCCAUCAAGUUCCCCCUCAUUAAUAAGUUCAUUAAGAAGAGCCGGGCUUUUGGGUUUCUUUAUCUCAGGACAUCUGUGUUAUACACUAUGGAUAAAUUUUUUUGAUAAGCGUUCCCGUUGUUGCUUCUCCAAAGCUGUUUCUCCUUCUCUCUCAGUGUAGUCUCUCACAGGAACCUUUCCAUUUUAUAUGUGUACUUCUUUGAGCCAGCUUCUUUCUUUCUUUCUUUUCUUUCUUUCUUUCUUUCUUUCUUUCUUUUUCUUUUUUCUUUUCUCUCUCUCUCUCUCUCUCUCGUAAUGAAUUCCACCAUGUGCUGCAAACAGCUGCUUUCGUCUUUCCUCCUUCCUAAGAUCUAUCCCAGAAGUGCACUUUAAUUCUAGCUUGCUUGACAGAAAAGUUAAUAUCCACUAUUUAGAGUGGCUGAAAAUUCACAAGGACAUCACACACACACCCCGAGACCUCAGUGUUCUCACAUUAGAAGUCUACGGUAUCUUAACUUUUCCAUGUAUGAUUUUUGAAAAAUCUUGAGGUAAGAAUGACUUCUCGUGAGAUUGUGGCCAUUUUCAGAAUUUAUAUUAUAUUGGUAGGGUGUCAGGAACCCUGGAAAGGUAGCUAAACCCUAGAAGAAGGGAGAUUGUGAUCAAUGUUCUUGACCUUUUCUCAAGCAACAUUUGUAUCAUAAGUAGGCAAAAUUGUAGGUUAUUUCCAGUGGUGGGUUUCAAAUUUUUUUACUACCAGUUCUGUGGGUAUGGCUUGGUGAGUGUCGCAUGGCUUGGUGGGCGUGGCAGGGGAAGGAUACUGUAAAAUCUCUAUUCCCUCCCCACUCCAGGGGAAGGAUACUGCAAAAUCCCCAUUCCCUCCCGAUUAGCUGGGACUUGGGAGGCAGGGAAUAGAUGGGGACGAGGCCAGUCAGAAUUUUUACUACCAGUUCUCUCAACUACUCAAAAUUUCCACUACCGGUUCUCCAGAACUGGUCAGGACCUGCUGAAACCCACCUCUGGUUAUUUCAUGUGGAACCUCAUGGGUAGUUUUGCUAACCAGAAGCUCUAUCCUUCCUCAUAUAAAUUUGCAAAGCUGAGAUAGCAGCAGGCUGAUGAAAAUACAAUUCUUUAAACCUUCUUCGAGCCUGAAUGUGUACAUAACAUGGGCUGAGAAUUGCUCUCAAAUAAAAUAAAUGUAAUUCCCCCAAACAAACACAACGUAUUAAGGCAAUGCAAAGCAUUCAGAAAGGGCUCUUUGCAAACCAUGUUAGUAAGACCCCUGUCCUAGAAGCAACACAGACUCCUACAAUUGCAUUGACGGCUAUCUGUGUGUGGUGUGGACGUAUACACAUUUAAUUUUGUUGGUGUUUUCAGCAGCACGUUUAGUACCACCGUAUGCCAUGUCCCGAACAUCUUGGCAUUUAUGUUAUUUUAGUCCCCAUGAUUUCUGAACCAAAAUGUUUAUCCUGCCGAAAAUACAGUGGGCACCAAUUGAGAUACUGUCUAUGUUAACGAAAACAUACACAAUUCUAUUGUUAAGCAUGGUGACAAGUAUUUUUAUUAGUACCUGAGAAAAGUGCUUAAUUCUCUUUGGGCAGAUUCUUCCCUGUGGCCACAAAUGAUUAAUUGUAGAGAGGCUUCUGAAGCUAUAAAAAAGAUUAAACCUGGGAAAGUGCAGAAAAACCAGAUGAAUUAUUGGCGCCUUGUUAUAAAUGCUUUGAUGAUGGACUCUUGCAACCUUUGCAAAACACAAUUAAUGCUGUCUUGCAGAGAGGAAAGACGCCUGAGAGAUGGAAUGAUGCAAAUAAACAUCAAUACCUAGCAAAGGAUUUGACUUGACAAAGAAAUUAUAGCCCGAUAUAAUUACUAACUCUUCACAAUGAUCCUAGCGGAUAGAUUGGAAAUAAUUUUACAAGAAUUUAUUUGUGAAGAUCAAGCUGGGUUUUUAUCUCAAAGAACAAUUAAAAGAUAAUGUUAGAAGCAUGUCAGGUAUUUUGGAAUAUUUUAAAUACAUGUGUGAGAUAUUUACAGUGCUGACAUCACCAUUCCCGCCUGGCACUCUCAGAAUUACUAGUUCUGUGUUGCCUUGGAGACUGAAUGGAACCAAAUAAAUCAAGGGUCUCCAACCUUGGCCACUUUAAGACUUGUGGACUUCAACUCCCAGAAUUCCUCAGCCAGCAAAGUUGCCGAGGUUGGAGACUCCUGAAAUAAAUGAAAGCUAUUAGCAAAUGAGCUUUUUCAUUUUCUUUCUUUCUUUUUUCUCAGAAUAACCAUUUUGCAAAAAUGAGCAUUGGAAGUUUUACACUCCUAACAUCACUUCAAAGCUGGCAAAUUUAUGAACAGGCCUUGUUUGAUUCCCAUGCAGCUGCUUUCUCUGUAGAAAAACAGGAUGUAAUAAGUGUCAGAACACACAUAUCUUCAUUCUACCUGAGGGUGUGCUUUAGAGCAGGGGUCUUCAACCUUGGCAACUUUAAGAUUUGUGGACUUCAACUCCCAGAGUUCCUGAGCCAGCUAACUGAGGAAUUCUGGGAGUUGAAGUCCACAAGUCUUAAAGUUGCCAAGGUUGGAGACCCCUGCUUUACAGUACAAGUUAGAUCAGGGGUGUCAAACUGGCAGCCCAUGGGACGGAUGCAUCACACGCAGGCCACGCCCACCCCAGUUCCACAAAGGGGAAAAAAUGUCACAAUAUGUCACGUGACAGCAACGUGAUGCAGCGAGUUUGACGCCCAUGAGUUAGAUCAUUAGUCGUGCUGGCCUGAAUUUCAUUGAAAGCCAUGGGGGGCAAGAACAUCACUGUUUUUUCCCAUAAUUUUUAUGGGUUUACGCCAAUUACCUGACCUUCGGACCUUUCGCCGUGAAUUGAAAACAUAUCUGUUUAUCCAAGCGGGACUGGCUUGAUUUUUAAAUUUUCAAAUUUUUGGAUUUUUAAUAAUUUUAAAUUGGGGUAUUUUAGUAUAAGUCAAUUUGACGGUUUUAAUUCUCGGCCACCUUUUGAAUAUGUAUUUUAAUGUUAUUUUAAUUUUGUAUAUUAUUGUUUUAAUCUGGCUGUACACCGCCCUGAGUCCUUCGGGAGAAGGGCGGUAUAAAAAUCUAAACAAACAAACAAACAAAUAAAUAAAUAAAUAAAUAAAUAAAUAAAUAAAUAAAUAAAUAAUUUCCACAAAAUACCGUGUGUCCCUGAAAAUAAGACAGGGUCUUAUUUUCUUUUGAACCCCCAAAUAAGGGCUUGACCUUAUUAUCAGGGGGUCUUAUUAUUUUGGGGGUGCAGGAGGCGGCAAGUGUGGGACUGAAUGUCCCAUUGCUGCCAUCGCCUCCCCUCCCUGUUCUUCGCGCCAGCUGAGCGGCCCAACAUGUCCCACCCCACCUCAGUGCCAACAGCUGCUUCCUUUUUCCCGCCGUUUCUUUAUCGAGAGGGGUGGCAGGUGGGGUGGGGGAGAAGCGAGAUGCCUGGAGCGAGAUGUGGCUCCCCUUGCUGUCUCUUCUCCCCCCCCCUGCCUUCGCUGGGCAUAACAGGGCUCCUGCCCCUCGCUUAGCCACCCGCCCCCUUUAGGGAUGCAAUUUGGGGGUGGCAGGCAGGAUGGGUGAGAAGCGGGACGUGCGUCUUACCUUUCCAGCUCCGUCACGUUCCUCGCCGUUGUGUCCAGGGAAACACGCUGUAAAAGAAAACCUCCUCGUGAGUUCAAUCAAACUUCUCAAACUCGUGACAAGGUUUUCUUUUACAGCGCGUUUCCCUGGACACAACGGCAAGGAAAGGGACGGAGUUUGAAAGGUGAGACACAUUUCACGCAGCCCAACACAUCCCACCCCACCCCAAUGGCAACAGCAGCCUGGCUGCUUCUCUUCCCUGCCGUCUCUUUAUAGAGAGGGUUGGCAGUGUGCCUGCAUAAAUGGCUCCCUGUGGCAUAUGUGCCAUAGGUUCGCCAUCCCUGUCCUAGGGCAAAAAGAGUAGAAAAUGAUUGAGAUGAUAAACUAAAACUGUCAAUUCAAGGUGUUGGUUAUCACCUUUAAAGCGUUCCAUGGCAUAGAACUGGGUUAUCUACAAGACCGCCUGCUGCUACCAAUAGCCUCCCAUCGACUCGUGCGCUCCCAUAGAGAGGGUCUCCUCAGGAUGCCGUCGGUCAAACAAUGUAGACUGGCGACCCCCAGGGGGAGAGCCUUCUCUGUGGGGGCUCUUGCCUUCUGGAAUGAGCUGCCUCCAAGGAUACGUCAACUUCCUGAUCUCCGGACCUUUUGCCGCGAGCUAAAGACCUUUCUAUUUCAUCGUGCAGGGCUGGCUUAAUGAAGUUUUGUAUUGGGGUUUUAUUAUAGUUUUACCUUCUUUCAGCCUCUAAUUUAAUUAGUUUUUAAAAUGUUUUUUAACUUUUCUGAUUUGUGCUUUUUACCCUGGCUGUAAACCGCCCUGAGUCCUUCAGGAGAAGGGCGGUAUAUAAAUUAAUUAAUUAAAUAAAUAAAUAAAUAAAUAAAUAAAUAAAUAAAUAAAUAAAUAAAUAAAUAAAUAAAUAAAUAAGUUUUCGUUUUAAAGGCAUGAGAAAAACCCAGUCUUUUCAGAUGAAGAUCAGUUUACUGGGGUUGUAGGAUUGCUCAAGAAAUAUCCCUAAUAUUUACUCUUUUUUGUGGGGGGAAUAGAAAAUAUUAAGAGCCUUCAGUCCCUAUAUUUCUUCUGCCUAGUUCUUGAGUAUGGGAAAAAUUAUAGCAGAGGAGUCUAUUUGCUCAUGCUGGAAUUAUGUUUGAAUGAAUCAGUUCUAAUACAAGUGAUUGAAUCUUUGAUUCAGAAUACAUACCAAGGAAUGGUUCAGUUAAUCGUAAUUCAAACUACAGAGCCUGGGUUUGUACAAUACACCCCAUCAAAGAAACCCAAAUCAUGUCUUACUAUGUAAAUCAAGCCUAAAUGUGCAUGUGUGUUGUUUUGGAUGCAACGCCUGCUGUUCUAGAGAGCAUUUCCAAGCGGUUAGCUAUUAUGUGUUCACUCAGAGCUAAUAUUGGUGUUACGAUAGUUUUCUUCUUUCAGUUGUUAAUGCUUUGCAGUGCCUUAUAUAGAUAUUUCAUAUUGCAGAUGUUUUAGGACAUAAUUGUUCUUUUUUUUUAAAAAAAAAGUAUCCAUGAAUAAUACAAAUGAUUGUCUUGUAACAGUUCCUGUAUUAAAUAUAUGCCAACUCCACUUUGAAUGGAAAAUGAAAGGCGGCAUGUUUAAAUUUCCUUGGUGGUGAUCCCACAGUUGUGUACAACAGGGGUCUCCAAUCUUGUCAACUUUAAGACUUGUGGAUUUCAACUUCCAGAAUGUCAACUUUAAGACUUGUGGAUUUCUGGAAGUUGAAGUCCACAAGUCUUAAAGUUGACAAGGUUGGAGACCCCUGGUCUACAACAUCUGUAAAAAGCCACAUGCAAAGGAGUCUUCAGCUUGGGUGGAUUUUUCCUUCAGGUUUCUAGUCCCAGUGAUCACGGGGAAGAAACAAAGGCAGCGACUACUAAAGGAUCAGGAAUUGAUCUCUAUACAGAUAGUCCUCGAUUUACAAUAGCUCAUUUAGUGACCGGUUCAAGGUUACAACGGCACUGAAAAAUGUGACUGCUUUUCACACGAUUGUUGUAGCAUCCCCAGGGUCACAUGAUCAAAAUUCAGACACUUGGGAACUGACUCAUAUUUAUGACAGUUGCAGUGUUCCCGGAGUUACGGGAUCCUCUUUUGCAACCUUUUGAUGAACAAAGUCAAUGGGGAAAAGCCAGAUUCACUUAACAAGCAUGUUACUAACUUAAAAAUUACAACGAUUCACUUACUGUAACGACAAUGGCAAGGAAAAAUAAUCACAAAAUGGGGCAAAACUCACGAAUGUCUCACUUAGUGACAUAAAUUUUGGGCUCAAUUGUGGUUGUAAGUCAAGGAUUACCUUAUACUUGCUCUGGGAAUUUGGAAAUAGGCCUAGGUGUGGAAGGAGCUGAAUAAUAGACCUGUGUUAAUAAAUCCAUCCUUUUGCUAGUGUUUUUUGCCUGUCGCAAUUUUCCAGACCUUCCCAACAGAAGAAUCUAGCGGAGAUACCGAAUAUUGUGAAGGAAUACGAAAAGCUAAUUCCAGCAGUAAAACUCUAAUGCAAAUGCAUGUGUAUUGCUUUUAUUUUUUAUUUUUAAAAAAACAAAAAACAAAAACCAACAAUUUGCAAUAGCCUGUGCUGUUGCAAGAACUACGUAGUUGCAGGGUAUUUUCUUAUAGCCACUACCUCUUCAGAUAUUGUCCUUUUCUGCCAGCAAAGGCUGGUCAAGUUCUUAAUUCUUUCCCCCUUUCACAAGUGCUGUUUUGUAAGCAAUAAACUUUAAGCAAUGACAUGAUGUAGCAGGUCUUGUACCAAGAAGGUGUUGAGCUAGUAGAUAGUAGAACCUGUGUCCACACACCCUCUGCUGUUUCCUUCCAGUUUUCAUGAACUCCAUGAAAAUACUGGUCAGAGUUACAAGAAUACGACAUCUGAACAGCCACAGGUUCUCCACCUUCUCCUUAGCCUGACUUCCCAAACCUGGUACCCUCCUACUUAUUGGACUUUUGAGCUCAAAAUUCCAGCUGGAGAGGACUGUCAAAAGCUACACAUGCUAUUGAUGAACUCUAGGACAAAAGGGGGAAGGAGACCCUCACUCUCAGGGAGCAGAAUUGUUACUAGAGAUUAUUUCUUUACUUGAUAGCUUGGUAACCAAUUGUCCCUCAGGAUGUCUCAUUCAUUUAUUUGAUCCUUGACCCCAAAGGAUGUUGAAAGCAAGUUAGAUUUGCUGCUGCAACUAACGGGCAACAUUUCACAGAGAGGCGUAUGAGUUAGAACUCCUUUUUUUCCAGUGAUACAAUAUCUAGCGAUAUUGAUUAGGGGAUCUUUCAUUUUCGCAAAACGAUGCAGCUCGGCUUUUCAUUCAGAAAAUACAUUUUUGUAUCUGAAGAGUUACACACACACACACCCCCAAAAGAAAAGAAUGACAACUGGUAGGUUGGGGGGAAAGCAUCAAUGCUGCAAAUUAAAAAAACCUUUGUAAAUUUUCUUCUAAGGUUGUGCAAAGCUUCGAUUUAGAGAUUCAGCUUGAAAGAUUAAAUUUGCCCCCCAAAUUGAAUCAAAGCACUUGAAUCCCAAAGUUCCCAUUGUUGAUUCAGAGCCUGUGAAUAGAUUCAGCAGUUUUACAAAUCCGUUUAUAUGAUUGAAUCACAUUGAAUCAACCACUGAAAUCAGUGAUUUGAACUAGAGUGAAGCAAUCUAGAACAUUCUUGCUUUCUUCAGCUGUUCUUGGCCUCAAAACAGAAAAUUAUUUCUGUAACGUUUGCAGCCCUGCUGCCUAGUCUUUUAAGGGUGUGUUUUGAAUUUGUGCCAUUUAUAAAGUUUAGGAGGACAGAACUUCACGAUCCAAACUCUGUAUUUCUCCAAACUACUUUAUGCAAAAACAACUUUCCAGUUGCAGCUUGGAAAUCUUAAAAGAAUAUGGCAAACGAUAUCAAAAUAAAUCAGUAUUGGAAGCUUCUUUUAACCCAUCUGAUAACUGGGUAUUUUAAAAUGCGUGUCCUGUAUAUUCAUUAGUUGGUCAUAAUUUCUUUUCUUUUCUUUUUUAUAAGGCAAAUAUCAGGGAUCUACAUAUGCAAUAUAUAGAUCUGGCUAAAUGUCCAGAUUUUUGGAACCAAAAGUUAAAACUGUGUUUUCUUAAUUGCCGCUGGGCUUUUUUU